rnacentral:lncRNA from 1 species
AAAAUAAUUUAGAUGAUGAAUUCAAUUAAAGUAUGCAUAAAAUUUUUCUGUAUGUGUUCAGUACUAGCUGCUGUUUGCACAAAUUGUUUCGAAUAUCAAUAUCAAAUCAAUUUCCGAAUAUAUCAUAAAUGAAAGGAUAAAAAGUGGAUGUUUUUCAUAUGAAAGUGUAUGUAACAUAUCAAUAUGAGUUGCUUCCCUUAGCCACAGAGAAAUGUUAUUUUGAUACAUGUAUAUUGUCUUUUUUUUUAUUGUUA